rnacentral:lncRNA from 1 species
AAAACAUGACUGAAGCAAGCUACAGACACAUAAAAAUGUAUAAUAUUUCCUGUUUUUAUUAUGAAUUGGGGGCAUUUAUUGGGAGGUGGACUUGAUUUUUCCAGGUAGAAAUACAAAUUUUAUCUUCUAUUUACAUAAACAAAUUGUUCUAUCAGCUUUCUAAUCAGCCCCCAAGAGUACCGGGUUUUUCCACUAAUGAAGUUUUUUUCUACACACUCCAAAAAAAAAAAAAACAAAAAACAAACAAACAAAAAAAACUAGUCAUUGAAAAGAGAAUGUGUUAAUCACUGUUUCUGGGCUCAACAUAGUCCUAUGCACUGGCAAGACACUGAUCUACUCAAACCCUUCUUUCAGGGAGUUUAUAUUCCAGGGGUGGGAGAUUAAAAAAAAAGUAAACAUGUUAAAAGAAAAAGAUAACUAGUAAGAGCUGAAUGAUAAAAAUAUAACCAGAAGUUAAGUUAAACAAGAUGGAGCCAGCCAGGCUAAGGCAUAUUGCAAGAGCAUAUGCAAGAAGAUUGGAGAGAAUCUAUGGUCAGGAUGCCAUUGUCACAAAAGGUAAAGGCAACAUAUUUUGAGAGUGACAAAAUACUUCUAUUAGUCUAAAUUAGCAUCACCUUUAGUAUUUUCUGCAUGAUUAUUUGAUAGCUCUUCAUUCAUUUUUAUUUUUUGUCUGCUCAGGGAGUAUAAGCAUAAAAUUGAAAAAAAAGUAUCAUUUCGUUUUUUUAUUCACGAGUGAUGAGUUAUUGGAAUUUUUCCCCAGUCAUUAAAUACCAACUUUCCUAUCCUUAGAUGCCCAGUAAUCAAGUCCUGCCCUUCCAAUCUAGCCUAGUAUUCCUGCCUCUGCCUUAUUCAGUCAGGUCAUGUAAGGGUUCAAGAAUUCUUUAAGUAUUACACUCACUGCAAUUUGAUACAUCAACGCCAGAUGAUGUUUGUUCUCAGGAUUAGUUUUUUCUUUAGAAAUACUAUGAGGUUUUCCAUCAAAAUCCAACUUUUAUUCUGUGUCCAAAAUUGGACUUGCUCCCUUCAACAUUUUAUUUCAGUUUGAUUGCUAUUGAUACUUACCAAUAAUUCGAUAUAUUCUUUUUAUUUCUUUUCUUUUUAUCUUUGGGUAUUAAAUAUUUCAGAAUAUACAUUAUACAAUAAUAUUAUCAAUAUUUUCAAAUUUUCUUAUUUUAAUACAUUUUCAUUUAUCUAAAUAUGGUAAUAAUAAUAAUGUAUAUAAUUUACAUAUACUGUUGUAACUAUUAACUAUUUUAACAUUUUUUUUUUGUCCUAAUGGGACUUUUUUUGUCCUAAUGGGACUUAACUAUAUAAUGCAGUCAUCAGUAUAUAUGGUCAUGGACUAGGUCUAGUAAUGAAAAUUUUAGGAAAUGUGGUGAGAACCUGUAUUCAAUUUGCACUGCUAUCACCCUUAAAGAAAAGAGACAAAUUAGCUAACUUUUGCAAAUAGCUGAUUGAACAACAAUCUUGAGCAUUUGAAACUAUGUUUCCUUCAUUUUUGAAAUACUCUUGCCAAUACUAUAAAAUGAAUACUAAACGUUUAUGCUUGCCUGUCUUGGGGAGGGAAGUUCUUUGGGGUUUUCAAGUUGUUUGGAGAUUGUCACUUGAUGCAUUGGUUUAAUCAUUUUGCUGUUUUAAUCAAUAUGCACAUGUGCUUAGAUCUGAAGAGCAUAGUAUAAUGAACACCAAAAAUAACAAGCAGAAAAACCUCUGGGUCCUCUUCAAUUCCGAAAUAUAACGUAAUCUCUGAACCAAAUGAAAGUGUCCCUGGCCCAAUUUGUUCGAGGGAACAUGAUCAAUUUAUCUAUUCCCGAAGAGAAAUAAAGGGAAGGAAAAUGUAAAGGCAAUUGAAGCCUCAAAUAUAUUCAGAGAUGCUCUCAACAUGUCAAAUAAAUGUCACUUUCACCUGAGGAAAAGAACUUUAGAAAUAAAUGUGUCAGAGAUACACAGCAGUGUCUUUUUAGUGAAUGUUCUAAUGGAAAACAAAAUAUGUUUAAGCAUCUGGAAGUGAAUAAACUAUAGUUGAUCUAGUUUUUAAAGUUUUCAUUCAAAUGAUAUAUAUAAUUACUCUAAUGGUUAUGAUACCAAUUACCUUGUAUUAUAUGUUUGCCAAGUGGCAGGCAGAACAUUAAAAAUGUUACCCCACUGGGAUGUAAUGUGCAGCAUGACAAUACAGAGAUCAUAAAAGGUCUCAUCAUAAGGAAAAAAAAAAAGAAAAUUAAGAAAAAAAUUUCUAACUAUGUAUGGUGAUGGAUGUUAGGUAAACUUAUUGAAGAGAUCAUUUUGCCAUGUAGAUAAAUAUUAAGUAAUGAUGUUGUACACCUGAAAGUAAUAUUUUAUGUCAAUUAGACCUCAAUAAAAAUGAGAAAUUUUUAAAAAUGUUACUCAAUUUUAGUCCAUACAAGAAUCUUAGAGGCGAGGCACUUCUUAUUAUCUUUGUUUUUAAAAAUAAGCAAACGGAGGAUUAGAGAUUUUAAGCAAAAGAGAUAGAAUUAAACAAAAAACUGUCCAAUUAAGCUCUUUGGUUCUUUGCCAUUUUCAGAAAGCCUUUUGCAAUUCUAAUGUUGUGUGGUGUACGUGUGUGUGUUUGUGCAUGUGUAUGAACAUGUGUACACUUUUGUCUUAACAAAAGACCCGGACACUUUAUUUUCCAGCCUUCGACAAUCCUCACCUUCCUCCUCCUCUCUACUUCACAUAUAUAACUUGCUCCUGCCAUAACCAAAUUUGGCAGGUCCUUAAACCUCCCUGUAUAUUUGCACCUUAAUUUUAUGUAUUAAUUCAUUUUUUCUGAUUACAAUAUUCUUUCAUUCCUCUUUUACCAUUACGGUAUUCCUUCAUCACUUUUCUCUACCUUUAUGACUAUUCCUAUCUUUAAUAAUUGGUCCAAUGAUCUUCUUUUCAUUAAAUCUUUCCUUGACUCUCCCAGUCUCUUCAUGGGGAUUCACUGGGUAUUUAGGACAUGUCCUAAAUGGGAUUUUCUUUACUGAACACCUGUGGAACUUCUAAUGGUACUGUUUUCAGUACCAUUGUUUGUUUGUUUUUUUUUUAAUUUCCAUAUCCACAUCAUCUGGCUAGUUCCAAAUGCAUAAAUAAAAAUAAAUAAAUUAUUUUCUCUCUUACUGCUUUACUGCAUUUCUCAACAGAAAAUUGAUUAGUUUAGGAGUUCCUGUCAUGGUGGAGCAGAAACAAAUCCGACUAGGAACCAUGAGGUUGCAGGCUCGAUCCCUGGCCUCAGCCAGUGAGUUAAGAAUCUGGGGCCCCGGCCAUAGCCAGUGAAUUAAGGAUCUGGUGUUGUUGUCAGCUGUAGGUUGCAGACGUAGCUCGGAUCCUAUGUUGCUGUGGCUGUGGUGUAGGCUGGCAGCUGUAGCUCCGAUUUGACCCC